rnacentral:lncRNA from 1 species
UGUUUGUUUGUUUCUGACUAUGUGGUGGAAUAGUUCUGGAUGUAUAGCGUUUAUAGAAGUAUUCUUGAUGAAUUGCUUUAAUUGCUCAAUUAUCUCACCCAUUUAAAGGGGGGAAAUGUUGCAGAAUACAGUAGUUAGAAACCCAGCACAUGGCUUGUCCCAAAGCGCUGGCAGAUCUUUGAGUAGGCUGGUGAGGAAAUAGAUAAGGAUUUAUUUUAAAUGACAAUAAAUGGGAAGUAAAAGUGAAUGUGUGAGGGGAAUUUCCCUAGAGGCUAGCAAGCGUGGGUGAAGACAGACCAUAAAUAUGGGAUUCAAAGCCUCCCUUGGCACCACACACUGUCUUCCUCCAGCAAUAUUUGAAGCAAGAAGGCAGAACCCUCCUCAGAACUAAAAAAGAAAAGAAAAAAAGAAUGAAGCCUUUUCUUGCUAUCCUGUGUCUUUUCCUUUGUGCAGCUCUCAUACAAGGAAUGCCAACCUCCAGCAGAGGGCGAUGCCUCUGUCGAGGAAGACCUCUGUCAGGGGUGAACAUGGGUAACGUGGCUGAACUUGAAUACCAUCGCCCAGGUCCCAGCUGCGAUGUGGAGGAACUCAUAGUUUGUUUCAAAAGAAAUGGGAACAGAGCAUGUCUCGACCUCAAUAAGCCUCAAGGGAGGGCCAUAAAAGAGGCCAUUAUGCGGAAAAAGAAAUGAAACCCUUUAAGCAGAGAAGGGGAACGGUGCGAUAAUUCAACUGGCCGUUUCAUUACAGAGGUGGAUGGCUAACCUUCCUCGUCAAGACUUCCUAAUAAGCUUCCAAAAGGCUGAAAUUCUUCUGGGGAACGUGGUUUUGAAAAUGGGUUUAAUAGCCAGCCUGUUUUCUUCUCAAGCUGCUAGGAUUUUGAAAGGACCCUCAGCCUUUUCCUUUUUAAUGUCUCUCCUUACUCUUUAGGGCAAAAGUUGGUUUCAUGAUAAGCAGAAAUAAAAAAGAAUGAGACCUCA